rnacentral:tRNA from 1 species
ACCUGGCUGGCUCAGCUGGUGGAGCUGUGACCCUUGAUCUUGCAGUUGUGGGUUUGAGUCCCAUGUUGGGUA